rnacentral:tRNA from 1 species
UUCUGGAUGGUUCGUGGUUAGGACACUGCACUUCCACUGCAGGGGACGCAGGUUCAAUCCCUGAUCAGGAAC